CCUACGGGAGGCUGCAGUGAGGAAUAUUGGUCAAUGGGCGCUAGCCUGAACCAGCCACGUAGCGUGAAGGAUGACUGUCCUCUGGGUUGUAACCUUCUUUUAUAUGGGAAUAAAGUGCAGUAUGUAUACUGCUUUGCAUGUACCUUAUGAAUAAGGAUAGGCUAACCCCGUGCCAGCAGACGAGGUAAUACGGAGGAUCCGAGCGUUAUCCGAAUUUAUUGGGUUUAACGGGAGGGUAGGCGGGUUGUUAAGUCAGUUGUGAAAGUUUGCGGCUCAACCGGAAAAUUGAAUUUGAUACUGGCAGCCUUGAGUACAUGAGAGGUAAGCGGAAUUCGGGGUGUAGCGGUGAAAUGCUUAGAUAUCACGAAGAACUCCGAUUGCGAAGGCAGCCUGCUGGACUGUAACUGACGCUGAGGCGCGAAAGUGUGGGUAGCAAACAGGAUUAGAUACCCCAGUAGUC
rnacentral:rRNA from 1 species